GACACUCUUGAGCUUUAGCAAUGCUUCCAUAAAACUGAACCAUGCAACAUAAUAUGGCACAAGGCUUUAGUUCUUCUCAUUUUUCAGCUUGCUUCUCUUCAUUGUUAGAUUGCUUAUAUUGGAAGAAAACUAUAUCAAGGAAAAGAAAGCGUAUAAUGAUAAGUUAGAGUUGGAAGUAGCCGUUUAGGAAUGUUUUAGUAAUUGACAAAAUGAGAGAAUGAGCAAUAUUUUUUUGUAACCAAUUCCUUACUACAGUAAAUUAUAGUUAUCUAUAAUUUAUGGAGUUUGGAUCCUUGGAAGGUCCUCUUCCAUCAAAGCUCUUUAGCAUUCCUCAAAUUCAUCAAGUGAAACUGAGGAACAAUGCAUUGAACAAUACAUUAGACUUAGGAGACAACAUUUGUCCACAAUUGCAGCUUGUUGAUCUUCAAGACAACCAGAUUUCCUCAGUAAUCCUCCGUUCGCAAUACAAACACACGUUGAUGUAAUUAUCUGUCUUAUAGGAAAUCCAGUGUGCGGUGUUCUCUCAAACACAAACUACUACCAACUUCAGUAGCAGCCUAAGCAACCUUACUCGACAAGCUUGGCGAAUUGCGGAGAAAAAUCUUGUCCGCCGGAUCAAAAGCUUAGCCCUCAGAGCUGUGAAUGUGCAUACCCUUAUGAAGGGAUGUUGUACUUCAGAGGACCCUUGUUUAGAGAACUCUCAAAUGUUAACAUUUUCUAUGAACUUGAGAUGAGUUUGUGGUGAAGUUGGACCUAACACCUAGCUCAGUUUCUUUACAAAACCCUUUCUUCAAUGGUGAUGAUUUAUAUUCAAGUGCAACUAGCUUUGUUUCCUCUUUCAGGACAAUAUUUCAAUAGGACUGAAGUUCAAAGAAUUGGGUUUGAUUUGACCAACCAAAUUUACAAGCCUCCUAAGGAGUUUGGACCUUAUUACUUCAUUGCAUUCCCUUAUGCUU